UGGGGAAUUUUGGACAAUGGGCGAAAGCCUGAUCCAGCAAUGCCGCGUGUGUGAAGAAGGCCUUCGGGUUGUAAAGCACUUUUGUCCGGAAAGAAAUCCUUGGCUCUAAUACAGUCGGGGGAUGACGGUACCGGAAGAAUAAGCACCGGCUAACUACGUGCCAGCAGCCGCGGUAAUACGUAGGGUGCAAGCGUUAAUCGGAAUUACUGGGCGUAAAGCGUGCGCAGGCGGUUUGCUAAGACCGAUGUGAAAUCCCCGGGCUCAACCUGGGAACUGCAUUUGGUGACUGGCAGGCUAGAGUAUGGCAGAGGGGGGUAGAAUUCCACGUGUAGCAGUGAAAUGCGUAGAGAUGUGGAGGAAUACCGAUGGCGAAGGCAGCCCCCUGGGCCAAUACUGACGCUCAUGCACGAAAGGCGUGGGGGAGCAAACAGGAUUAGAUACCCUGGUAGUCCACGCCCUAAACGAUGUCAACUAGUUGUUGGGGAUUCAUUUCCUUAGUAACGUAGCUAACGCGUGAAGUUGACCGCCUGGGGAGUACGGUCGCAAGAUUAAAACUUAAAGGAAUUGACGGGGUCAUAGCUGUUUCCU
rnacentral:rRNA from 1 species